UCCACUUCCGGGUACAUCGGCAGUCAUAUUUACCGUCACGCAUAUAGGUAACCCUGAAGACUUCGAGAGAUAAAGAAAUGAAUUUUGUUUCGGUUCUCCUAACAUAUGAAGGAAUCGAAAGCACGGGUCGAAAAAUGCAGAUGUUUAGACAGGGUUGUGUAUGGCAAAUAUAGAAUAUACAGCAGUUUACAUUGACCAUUAAUCCACUGUUUACAAUGCCUAUGUUCCUGAAAUAUCUAUCCAUCGAAGCUAAAAAGGAAGAAGAUCAGAGGAAAAUUUGUGCAUGAAGAAUUUUAUUGCAGCUACCAUCUUCCAAUUCCUUAACCUGAGAAAAAUACCAGAAACACACAAUUUUAGUGACAUAAUAUUUUUGUAUGAAUGACAUGCAACACAAAAAUCGUUGUGUAAAAGCGUAGUACAAUAACAUGACACUUUGAUACUUUGAUACUAUAAUCUAGUAAACUUGUUAAUGUCACAAUAAAUCGUCCGAAUUUUGUUGCAUUUUUAAGUAUUGAAAAACUCUAUAAACACCAAAGUAGAAAACACACUAGAUAUAAAGAUUUUCAUAGUACCACAGUAAUGUCAUUUGUUAUAAUGGACAAAUGACUAUGAUGUACAUGAUGUAUAUAAAAAAGUAGCAUAAUAUGAUAUAUCAUCUUUUGUUCAGACAAUUUUGAACAAUUGAAAUACCUGUAUUAAAAGAUUAGUUCAAAAUGUAAUUUAAGAAAUAUCAUUAAAUAUAUCACUGGGUGAUUUAAAAA